rnacentral:rRNA from 1 species
CAAAACGCUNCGGAGCACAACCGCGUGAGCGGAAGAAGGUCUGUGGAUUGUAAACCUCUUUUGUUAGGGAAGAUAAUGACGGUACCUAACGAAUAAGCAUCGGCUAACUCCGUGCCAGCAGCCGCGGUAAGACGGAGGAUGCAAGCGUUAUCCGGAAUUAUUGGGCGUAAAGCGUACGUAGGCGGUUUUAUAAGUCUGUUGUCAAAGCCCGAGGCUUAACCUUGGAAAGGCAAUGGAAACUGUAAGACUAAAGAGAGAUAGGGGCAGGAGGAAUUCCAGGUGUAGCGGUGAAAUGCGUAGAUAUCUGGAAGAACACCAGUGGCGAAAGCGUCCUGCUGGAUCUCAACUGACGCUGAAGUACGAAAGCUAGGGGAGCGAAUGGGAUUAGAUACCCCAGUUAGUCAA